GUUGUAGGUACUGUGCAACAUUGAGAAAGCACAGAAGCAGCAGCAGAAGACUUACGGAAGUCGGAAGAGGAAGAAGCAAUGUCAGUGUUGGUGAUGAUGUCCUCAUUUCGGGAAACCCCAAAAAACAGCGGUUCAAAGACUCCCUAGCCCACCGCCAUCACGGUCCAUUUACGGUGACCAGCAUUUCCUCAAAGGGUGUGGCUGUUGUGGUGAAAGACAAUGGGAUGUGUCACCAACUCAACGUCUCCCAUUUAAGGCCAUACUACCGAUUAGAAAAUCGUGGACAGGCUGAGGGGUCGUUUCUGGAGGACCAUAUGUACUGGACAUCAGAACAGAACACUGACCAUGUUUAUGCUUCCCUUGGACAGAAGUGGGAAAAAGAUUUGGGUCCUCAAAAGGAUAAACUGGCAAGUGCCAUUUCAAUCUUUCCGCAUUACAUUUGUCAAAUUCCAGUUUAUGAAGCUCAUGUGCAGGUUGUGAUUGGCUGUACAGUGUACUUACUGAAGUGGUUUGAUAAUUAGUGGAAUUUUAAUUGUGAUUAGCUGAAAUACAUCCUGGACACAGACUGUCCUGCAGGAGAGCUGGUUGUGAAGGACACUGACGUCUGCCUUACAUGUGAAGACUUCAGGAGUCUAGGAUUAAAUCGGUUAAUGGAUUCCAAUAUUAGAAAUGCCUGCUUCAAAGUGGUGAAAGAGGCUGCUCGAAGACAUGUAAUUACAGUACCUGUGGUAUUUCAUAUAGUUGUAUUUUUUUAACUAAAUGAACUUUUGAUAUAAAUUCAUAAUACUGUAUUAAAUGGGGGAAAGAUGUUCACAUUGUCGACAUGUAUGCUAUGCCUACUUGGAAGACAAAGAAUGUGGACCCACUGGUUGGCAUGCCAGUAAGUGCUUUUACGUAAUGUGCGUGCAGGUGAUGCAACCUUACACAAACACAAAAAUUAAUGUUUUUGUCUCAACUGCAGGAUGACCUGGGAUCAAAGGAUGCCAUAUUGUUUCCGGCAUGGAGCAGUUGGCAGGAUCAGAUGGACCACUAUCUGCUUUGUGUUGAGUUGCAAUUGUUAUUGAUAUUCAGCAAAUGCUUUUGUUGCUGAACUUACUGUGAUGCAUUGCUUAUAUUCUUCUUUCAAAUUAUGCUCUCUGCAGGUUUUAUUGGCGGCAAAAAAAGAGAUAUCCUUUUCUGGACUCUCUUAUUCCUGAUGGUUUUGGAGAUGAGGUCUAGAGAACCAUAUUUAGGUCCAGAGAUUACAGAGACAUUUGGCCUUGUUCUAUGGCUCAUUGUAUAGCAGAUUUUGUCAUUGUUUAAACAGUGUUUUUUUUCCCUAAACCCUUGUUCUAUGGGUACAGGUUUCAGGAGGAGCCUUCCCAGAUAGCAAACAUAUGUUGAAAUGGCAUUGAUUCCAUAUUAAACAACUUUGAUCUUCAAUGUUGAUUUAGCAUUGACCUUGUUCGUUCAAAAGGCCAUCGAUCCAACAUUGAAAAAUCAACCAUUUGUGAUAAGGAUUCAACGUUGUUUCAACACUUGUUUGGCAACUUCUUUAUCCAUUGAUUUAAUGUUGAAUUAGUGUAUGUUGAAUCAAUAUUGGGUUAUAAUUGUUUCCCAAGUGAAUUAAUGUUGAAAUGAUGUUAUAUCUAGCAGGGCUUGCUAAUGAUUAAUAAAAAAAUAACAUGUACAAAUAUUUUAAUUGAAUAUUUAAAUAUUAAGUCAGUCAAAGUGAAAAUAAAUUUUAGCCAUCUCAGCUAUAUAUGAGACCAGAACACAUGAUUCCAGUUAUUAGAGUACAAGAAUUUUUAUUAAUAAAUUACAAAUAUCAACUCUAAACACAAAAACGGUUUUGGUUUAUUGGUUUCUGAUUCUUCGCUUUGCCCCUGCCUGUUCCUUUUGCCUUGGUUUGUUUGCUUUUUGGUUUCGGUUUCUUGCCCAGGUUUGGUUUACGUCUUUGCGCGUCCCUCGGACUCUGACGCUUUGCUGUGUGUAUGUUUUGUGUGUACAUUAGGUGCGUAGGGAGUGGUUGCCAUUUUUGUUUGUGACCUUUUGUUGUUGAUUGGUUAAGAAGUAAGGAGUAGUAUUUGUUGUUUUUGUUCUUUGAGUUCUUUGCAUUUAGAUAAAUUAGCCUUGGGUUGCGUUCAGUUCCUGGGGUUUUGUUGAUUGUUUUGGCUAUAAUCACUUCUGAGUCCUUCUACACCUGGUUUAUUAGUUCAGUACGGGUCUGUCGCGUGUAAAUAAAAACCAGAAAAAUAUAAAAAUAUACCCAUUUGUCCACGUAUAUUCCCUUGUCCACCACACCCUGUGUUUCCCUUAUUCCACUUCCCCUUUCCCUUCCAUUCUGUUACGCCCCAACCCUAGACUGGGGCUCGUAACACUACAAUGCAUUUUUUCCCCGUAGCAAAAGGUUCUCGGUGGAAAGGAGCCUUCAAAAUGGCUAGAGCGAUUCCAGAAGAAGUCAGCCACCCAGGUCCCUGUGUACCUGGAUUCUGAGGAUCACCAAGACUACCUGUUCUUCUACCUGCAGAGUCUUCUAAGAACUGCACCAACAGCUUUUGAAGUCAGGGAUCAAGUGCAGUUCAUCUUGGAUGUUCUGUUUCCAGAGGUUAGGCAAUUCGAUAUAGUGAUUUCUGUUUAUGAAAUUAGUACACAAUCCUGUUGGAAAUCCAUUUAGUGGUUUUUAUAUUAUUACUAUACAUAAGAGAAAAAAAAUCUGUUUCUCUAUAUUAGUCCAUCGUCCACGCCCUUACUGCU